rnacentral:rRNA from 1 species
UGCCAGACUCCUACGGGAGGCAGCAGUGGGGAAUAUUGCACAAUGGGGGAAACCCUGAUGCAGCGACGCCGCGUGAGCGAUGAAGUAUUUCGGUAUGUAAAGCUCUAUCAGCAGGGAAGAAGAUGACGGUACCUGACUAAGAAGCCCCGGCUAACUACGUGCCAGCAGCCGCGGUAAUACGUAGGGGGCAAGCGUUAUCCGGAUUUACUGGGUGUAAAGGGAGCGUAGACGGCGAUGCAAGCCAGAUGUGAAAGCCCGGGGCUCAACCCCGGGACUGCAUUUGGAACUGUGUGGCUGGAGUGUCGGAGAGGCAGGCGGAAUUCCUAGUGUAGCGGUGAAAUGCGUAGACAUUAGGAGGAACACCAGUGGCGAAGGCGGCCUGCUGGACGAUGACUGACGUUGAGGCUCGAAAGCGUGGGGAGCAAACAGGAUUAGAUACCCCUGUACU